UGGGGUGUCGCCAAGUGGUAAGGCACCGGGUUUUGAUCCCGGCAUUCGCAGGUUCGAAUCCUGCCACCCCAGCCA
rnacentral:tRNA from 3 species